UACGGAGGGUGCAAGCGUUAUCCGGAUUUACUGGGUUUAAGGGGUGGGUAGGCGGAUUUGUAAGUCCGAGGGGAAAUCUCCGAGCUUAACUCGGACACUGCCUUGGAUACUAUAAGUCUUGAAUGACGUUGAGGUUAGCGGAAUAUGUCAUGUAGCGGUGAAAUGCUUAGAUAUGACAUAGAACAUCUAUUGCGAAUGCAGCUAACUAAGCGUAUAUUGACGCUGAUGCACGAAAGCGUGGGGAUCAAACAGG
rnacentral:rRNA from 1 species